rnacentral:rRNA from 1 species
AGCGAACGCUGGCGGCAGGCCUAAUACAUGCAAGUCGAACGAACCUUUCGGGGUUAGUGGCGGACGGGUGAGUAACACGUGGGAACGUGCCUUUAGGUUCGGAAUAACUCAGGGAAACUUGUGCUAAUACCGAAUGUGCCCUUCGGGGGAAAGAUUUAUCGCCUUUAGAGCGGCCCGCGUCUGAUUAGCUAGUUGGUUGAGGUAAUGGCUCAGCAAGGCGACGAUCAGUAGCUGGUCUGAGAGGAUGAUCAGCCACAUUGGGACUGAGACACGGCCCAAACUCCUACGGGAGGCAGCAGUGGGGAAUCUUGCGCAAUGGGCGAAAGCCUGACGCAGCCAUGCCGCGUGAAUGAUGAAGGUCUUAGGAUUGUAAAAUUCUUUCACCGGGGACGAUAAUGACGGUACCCGGAGAAGAAGCCCCGGCUAACUUCGUG